GAUGACUGUGUGAAAAAAAAUCUCGCAGAACUCUUAUAAAGUGCAAAAAGCGCAAUAAUAGAAUUUCCCAUCUAUUAGGUAUUAAUCCUGGUAUAUUUUUGUUUUCUUUUUCCUACAGAAAAGCUUUACGGGCGUACCUAUUAGGCUUUUAAUUAUCCGGACUGCAUUGUAGUUUUCAAAUUUUAUAAAACAUGGGUAUAAACACAGAAACGUUCAGAAACUUAUUCGGAAUGAGUCGUAAUCUCACAUCGCAGAAUAGAGGGUAGGUGUAUGUACCACCUAUCGGUGAUGAUGGUGCCGCUAUUAUAGACAUAAACUCCAGCGGAUCUUUUUUCUCAGCCAAUCCUGUGCCUGAAUCAGACCAAUUGGAGCGCUCUAAUACCGCCGAGAUCAAAUUGUUUAGAAUCGAAGGGUAUCAGUAAAACGGCAGUAGCAGCAAGCUAGCUGCGGCAUCAGAACUCUCCGAUUGAUGCAAGCAGAUUGGCAAAGCAGAGAUCAAAUGGAGCUGAUAACUGUAUUCAACAGCAGCAGCACAAUUCCCGAAUUAUUAUCCCGCUUCGACGAUGGGUAGUGGUUAGGUGACCGACAGAAGAAGGAGAAUUUCAGGAUUCGACGUUAAGAUCCGGCUACGACCACAGGACAAUGGACCUGAACAAUGUGAAAUUGGCAGUAUGCCGGCCACUUUUAGCAGUUAAAAUGAAGUUUGAAAAUCAUAUACCUGCAAAAUACUGAGUAGACAUAUAUGUACAAAAUAAAAAUAAAAAGUAUGUUCUCUUCUAUGUA